rnacentral:rRNA from 1 species
GAGAGGUAACGGCUCACCAAGGCAUCGACGGGUAGCUGGUCUGAGAGGAUGAUCAGCCACACUGGAACUGAGACACGGUCCAGACUCCUACGGGAGGCAGCAGUGGGGAAUCUUGCACAAUGGGCGCAAGCCUGAUGCAGCAACGCCGCGUGCGGGAAGAAGGCCCUAGGGUUGUAAACCGCUUUCAGGAGGGAAGAAAAUGACGGUACCUCCAGAAGAAGGUGCGGCCAACUACGUGCCAGCAGCCGCGGUGACACGUAGGCACCAAGCGUUAUCCGGAUUUAUUGGGCGUAAAGAGCUCGUAGGCGGUUCGGUAAGUCGGGUGUGAAAAUCCAAGGCUCAACCUUGGGACGCCACCCGAUACUGCUGUGACUAGAGUGCAGUAGGGGAGCAGGGAAUUCCUGGUGUAGCGGUGAAAUGCGCAGAUAUCAGGAGGAACACCAGUGGCGAAGGCGCUGCUCUGGGCUGUAACUGACGCUGAGGAGCGAAAGCGUGGGUAGCAAACAGGAUUAGAUACCCUGGUAGUCCACGCCGUAAACGUUGGGCACUAGGUGUGGGUCUCAACCAACGAGAUCCGCGCCGUCGCUAACGCAUUAAGUG